rnacentral:lncRNA from 1 species
ACAGUUGCCAUGGUUCUGAUCCUGGGCUUGCACUGAUAUCGUCUUGUACCUUUCCAGGUACAACUCAUAUCAAUGUUUUUCAUAUAAUAUGAAAUACAUAAAUCGCCUUUGUGCGUAUGCAUAAAGGAUUCUAUUUACGCAUUAUUUCUUUGGGAGUUAAAAGGGCACGUUCCCUUUGAGAAGGGCAACUUGCUAGUCACACUAGAGUCAUCCUUCUAAUUGAAGUUUAUCAUCAUAUG